rnacentral:rRNA from 1 species
CAAAUGAAUUGACGGGGCCCGCACAAGCGGUGGAGCAUGUGGUUAAUUCGACGCAACGCGAAGAACCUUACCAGGGCUUGACAUCCCCUGACCGCGUAUGAAAGUACGUUUUCACCCUCGGGUGACAGGGAGACAGGUGGUGCAUGGUUGUCGUCAGCUCGUGUCGUGAGAUGUUGGGUUAAGUCCCGCAACGAGCGCAACCCCUACGUUUAGUUGCUAACAGGUGAAGCUGAGCACUCUAGACGAACUGCCGUUGACAAAACGGAGGAAGGUGGGAUGACGUCAAAUCAUCAUGCCCCUUAUGUUCUGGGCUACACACGUGCUACAAUGGCCGGUACAGACGGAGGCGAAGCCGCGAGGCGGAGCAAAUCCGAAAAAGCCGGUCUCAGUUCGGAUUGCAGGCUGCAAUUCGCCUGCAUGAAGUCGGAAUCGCUAGUAAUCGCAGGUCAGCAUACUGCGGUGAAUACGUUCCCGGGCCUU